rnacentral:rRNA from 1 species
AAAGGCCAAUCAAACCGGGAGAUAGCUGGUUCUCCCCGAAAGCUAUUUAGGUAGCGCCUCGUGAAUUCAUCUCCGGGGGUAGAGCACUGUUUCGGCAAGGGGGUCAUCCCGACUUACCAACCCGAUGCAAACUGCGAAUACCGGAGAAUGUUAUCACGGGAGACACACGGCGGGUGCUAACGUCCGUCGUGAAGAGGGAAACAACCCAGACCGCCAGCUAAGGUCCCAAAGUCAUGGUUAAGUGGGAAACGAUGUGGGAAGGCCCAGACAGCCAGGAUGUUGGCUUAGAAGCAGCCAUCAUUUAAAGAAAGCGUAAUAGCUCACUGGUCGAGUCGGCCUGCGCGGAAGAUGUAACGGGGCUAAACCAUGCACCGAAGCUGCGGCAGCGACGCUUAUGCGUUGUUGGGUAGGGGAGCGUUCUGUAAGCCUGUGAAGGUGUGCUGUGAGGCAUGCUGGAGGUAUCAGAAGUGCGAAUGCUGACAUAAGUAACGAUAAAGCGGGUGAAAAGCCCGCUCGCCGGAAGACCAAGGGUUCCUGUCCAACGUUAAUCGGGGCAGGGUGAGUCGACCCCUAAGGCGAGGCCGAAAGGCGUAGUCGAUGGGAAACAGGUUAAUAUUCCUGUACUUGGUGUUACUGCGAAGGGGGGACGGAGAAGGCUAUGUUGGCCGGGCGACGGUUGUCCCGGUUUAAGCGUGUAGGCUGGUUUUCCAGGCAAAUCCGGAAAAUCAAGGCUGAGGCGUGAUGACGAGGCACUACGGUGCUGAAGCAACAAAUGCCCUGCUUCCAGGAAAAGCCUCUAAGCAUCAGGUAACAUCAAAUCGUACCCCAAACCGACACAGGUGGUCAGGUAGAGAAUACCAAGGCGCUUGAGAGAACUCGGGUGAAGGAACUAGGCAAAAUGGUGCCGUAACUUCGGGAGAAGGCACGCUGAUAUGUAGGUGAAGUCCCUCGCGGAUGGAGCUGAAAUCAGUCGAAGAUACCAGCUGGCUGCAACUGUUUAUUAAAAACACAGCACUGUGCAAACACGAAAGUGGACGUAUACGGUGUGACGCCUGCCCGGUGCCGGAAGGUUAAUUGAUGGGGUUAGCGGUAACGCGAAGCUCUUGAUCGAAGCCCCGGUAAACGGCGGCCGUAACUAUAACGGUCCUAAGGUAGCGAAAUUCCUUGUCGGGUAAGUUCCGACCUGCACGAAUGGCGUAAUGAUGGCCAGGCUGUCUCCACCCGAGACUCAGUGAAAUUGAACUCGCUGUGAAGAUGCAGUGUACCCGCGGCAAGACGGAAAGACCCCGUGAACCUUUACUAUAGCUUGACACUGAACAUUGAGCCUUGAUGUGUAGGAUAGGUGGGAGGCUUUGAAGUGUGGACGCCAGUCUGCAUGGAGCCGGCCUUGAAAUACCACCCUUUAA